CACGGGGGGAGCAAGCGUUGUUCGGAAUCACUGGGCGUAAAGGGCGUGCAGGCGGUCAGGUAAGUGGGAUGUGAAAUGCCCCGGCUCACCCGGGGACCGGCAUCUCAUACUGCUUGGCUUGAGUACGGGAGAGGAUGUGGGAAUUCCUGGUGUAGCGGUGAAAUGCGUAGAUAUCAGGAGGAACACCGGUGGCGAAGGCGGGUCUCUGGGCAGUAACUGACGCUGAGGAGCGAAAGCGUGGGGAGCGAACAGG
rnacentral:rRNA from 1 species